AAAACCCGUUGAAUUGAACAGGAAACAUUCACGGGAAAUCUGCAGGUGUCUGCAAGCAAGAGUGACGCUAGAAGGAUCUUAGUAUGCCAGCUCCCUCUUCCUCAAGGGUAGUGUCCCUGGAAUGAAGCCACCAGCAACAGGAGAGGAAACAGAUGGGGUUGUAGAAAGUAGGAGCAGCAAAAGCUUCUGAACUUAGUAAUAAGCUGCUUGCCCCGGGGAGAGUCCUGCUCCUCGCUUAGCUCAGCACAGCGAGUCCCCUGGCUUCAGCUUCCCUCCUGAGCACCUGACGGUUGUCGGUUUACUGUGACUCACUGCCAUUCUAUCUGCCUGGGCUUAUGUUUCCAGCAUCUCACCAGAGCUGUUGUGACCCAUCUCCUGGGCAAAGCCUUCCACGGAGAGGCUGCCGGGCCAGCAGGAGAGGAGACCCAAUCCAUCCAUCAGCAUUUGAAUAAUUCCAUCCACACAUACUUCUCUUCCAAACACCCGGGCUAUUUUCCUUUCCCUGAGCCAUGCAAGCCCAAGGAGCCAGCAGGGUUGCGUGCUCUCAGGAGUAGGACACGUCACAUCAACUUGAGUGCUCCAGGAGCCCUGCCACAAUGGUUUCUUUGUGAGAUCAUCUUUGCAGCGGUUUCCUGAAGCUCUGGCCUCCUUCCUGGUAUCUUCACACAUUCUAGGUGUUUCAAUUCAGUAAAAACAUAAGGGCCUUUUGACUGCUCACUCCUGCACUUCACACUGGGAAGGACACAGAAGUCCCCAGAGAGUGCCCUGGACGACAAAAUGUAGUUCAGAGGUAUCUAAGGUGGGUUCCACCCAAAAGGGUCCCACAAAGAAAGAAUUCCAGGGCCAAUUAAAUUUGGGGAUCUGCAUAGUCCAUCUCUCUCUUGGUGAUUCAAAACAUAUAUUUAUAUAUAUUAAAGGUUCUGAGAAGUCCUGUAAGUAAAUCCUGUUCCACUUUUUAACCCACCAUCUCCCAAACCCAGCAUGAUACUGAUAUCAGCAUGCUACUCUUUUCAUAUAACACCUACUUAUAUAUGAAGGAACUAAUUGAGGUCUUUUGAGAUAUAUUUUAGGAAAUGAUCUAACAGUGGUUUUUAACCUAAGGAAACACCUCACUAGAGAGUGCUUGGGCACAGGAGGUGGCAUUUUGGGUUGUCACAAAGAUGGGGAGGUGCUACUUGCAUUUCAUACAUAGGGGUUGUGGGGGCAGGGGCAGCUAGUGCUGUUACAGUGAUGAUGCAAUGCGGCCCCGUCCCAAGUGGGGUGGGGGGCACUGUCCUGCCCUAAAUGCCCACAACUCUCCCCACGCCGCUCUCCCACCCCAUUGAGAAGCAGUGGUUGGACCUACGCUCAGCAUUGUGCUCCCAGGCCCUCUCUGCGGGUUCAAACGCCUCUUGAUGUCCUCUUGGU
rnacentral:lncRNA from 10 species